UAAAUACUCCCUCCGUCCCAAAAUUCUUGUCUUAGAUUUGUCUAGAUAUGGAUGUAUCUAAUACUAAAACGUGAGUUGAUACAUCCCUAUUUAGAAAAAUCUAAGACAAGAAUUUUGGGACGGAAGGAGUAUGUU
rfam:Triticum aestivum genome assembly, contig: Triticum_aestivum_CS42_TGACv1_scaffold_194843_3AL